AGUGAACGCUGGCGGUAGGCCUAACACAUGCAAGUCGAACGGCAGCACAGUAAGAGCUUGCUCUUACGGGUGGCGAGUGGCGGACGGGUGAGGAAUACAUCGGAAUCUACUUUUUCGUGGGGGAUAACGUAGGGAAACUUACGCUAAUACCGCAUACGACCUACGGGUGAAAGCAGGGGAUCUUCGGACCUUGCGCGAUUGAAUGAGCCGAUGUUGGAUUAGCUAGUUGGCGGGGUAAAGGCCCACCAAGGCGACGAUCCGUAGCUGGUCUGAGAGGAUGAUCAGCGGCACUGGAACUGAGACACGGUCCAGACUCCUACGGGAGGCAGCAGUGGGGAAUAUUGGACAAUGGGCGCAAGCCUGGUCCAGCCAUACCGCGUGGGUGAAGAAGGCCUUCGGGUUGUAAAGCCCUUUUGUUGGGAAAGAAAAGCAGCAGGUUAAUACCCCGCUGUUCUGACGGUACCCAAAGAAUAAGCACCGGCUAACUUCGUG
rnacentral:rRNA from 1 species